UACGGAGGAUGCAAGCGUUAUCCGGAUUCAUUGGGUUUAAAGGGUGCGCAGGCGGAAUGGUAAGUCAGUGGUGAAAUCCUACGGCUCAACUGUAGAAUUGCCAUUGAUACUGUCGUUCUUGAGUAUAGUUGAAGUGGGCGGAAUGUGUCAUGUAGCGGUGAAAUGCUUAGAUAUGACACAGAACACCGAUCGCGAAGGCAGCUCGCUAAACUAUCACUGACGCUCAUGCACGAAAGCGUGGGGAUCAAACAGGAUUAGAUACCCUGGUAGUCCACGCUGUAAACGAUGAUUACUCGAUGUUGGCGAUAUACAGUCAGCGUCUAAGCGAAAGCAUUAAGUAAUCCACCUGGGGAGUACGGCCGCAAGGUUGAA
rnacentral:rRNA from 1 species